rnacentral:rRNA from 1 species
AGUGAACGCUGGCGGUAGGCCUAACACAUGCAAGUCGAACGGCAGCACAGUAAGAGCUUGCUCUUACGGGUGGCGAGUGGCGGACGGGUGAGGAAUACAUCGGAAUCUACUUUUUCGUGGGGGAUAACGUAGGGAAACUUACGCUAAUACCGCAUACGACCUACGGGUGAAAGCAGGGGAUCUUCGGACCUUGCGCGAUUGAAUGAGCCGAUGUCGGAUUAGCUAGUUGGCGGGGUAAAGGCCCACCAAGGCGACGAUCCGUAGCUGGUCUGAGAGGAUGAUCAGCCACACUAGAACUGAGACACGGUCCAGACUCCUACGAGAGGCAGCAUUGGGGAAUAUUGGACAAUGAGCGCAAGCCUGAUCCAGCCAUACCGCGUGAGUGAAGAAGGCCUUCGGGUUGUAAAACCCUUUUGUUGGGAAAGAAAAGCAGCAGGUUAAUACCCCGCUGUUCUGACGGUACCCAAAGAAUAAGCACCGGCUAACUUCGUG